rnacentral:rRNA from 1 species
GAUGAACGCUGGCGGCGUGCUUAAUACAUGCAAGUCGAACGGAGUAUGUAGCAAUACGUACUUAGUGGCGAACGGGUGAGUAACGCGUUGGUGACCUGCCUCGAAGAGAGGGAUAACAGUCCGAAAGGAUUGCUAAUACCUCAUGUGAUCAUAGGGUUUAGAAGCCUGUGAUUAAAGGAGUAAUUCACUUUGAGAGGGACCUGCGUACCAUCAGCUAGUUGGUGAGGUAACGGCCCACCAAGGCGAUGACGGUUAGGGGACCUGAGAGGGUGGCCCCCCACCAAUAGG